rnacentral:pre_miRNA from 1 species
ACAACAACCAGACCGUCGGUCUACCGAGCAAUAACGCCCGUUCGGUGGAAGGUCUUCUUUUCGUCGU